ensembl:lncRNA
ACUGUAACGAGCAGGUUGUAUCUUCCUUCAAUCCUCCUCAUGAAGCUCACCUUUUCCCUGAUGUGUGAAGAAACCCGGUGAAAUCUCGCUAUCUGCCUGCUGCAGUAAUAUUUACCAAAUAGUUUAUGUUUAAUUGUCUGAGAACACAAAGGGCCCAGCAGUCAAAGGAUGCCUCACCACAUCCAGGGGGCCACUCGGGGCCUGACAGCCUAUCAAGUCUCCUCGCAUAAACAGACCCUCUCCCUGCCUGAACCUGCAGUGGCCGUCAAAGAAAUCCAUCCAUCCGCCCAGGAUGACUAUGACUGAU